rnacentral:rRNA from 11 species
ACCUAGGCCUAUAUACUCUGAAGGCACAAGAUCCUGCCUUAUCUUGGAUGCUAAGCAGGAUCCAGCAUGAUUCCUACGUGGGUGAGAGACUGUCAGAGAACACCAGAUAUUGUAGUCUAUGUU